AGAUUUCAGCUCCUCCCUCUGGGACAGCUGUGAACAGAGGAAGAAUCUGUUGUCAGACUAAAUUAUUCUGGUUCAAAAUGGGCUGUUUUUUGAGAUUUCAGUGGAGAGGAAAAAAAGUGUUUAAGUAUUUUCAAGAGAGGUAACCUCGCUCGGUGAGCCCCGCCCGCGAUCCACGCUCUCUGGGAGCUAGGAGGGGCGCAGGAGCCGGGGUCUCUGCCCUGCCCGCCUGGCUUCCAGAUGUGGUGCAGCGCCAGCGCGCGGGGACACAGUGUCCGCCAGGAGAAGGAAGGGCCGCCCUGCACCACACCAGGCCAGCCUCUGGUGUUAAUGAGAGCCUAUAUUUGGAAGUGGCAUCUGGAGAGGUUUGCCUUGCACAAAGACCAAAUAAUUACCUCUUGGCUUUUGAAAAAGGAAGGGGGAAGCGGGAAGACAAAGGCGCCUGUGAGCGCGGAGGACGCUCUCCUGGGACUCUGGCCUGGAGCGGGACUGCAGCCUUGCGUGCGGCGAGGGCGCUGCGCUACUCAGGGCUUCCGCGAAGCCAGGGGCAGCGCGGCCGCGUGCAAAUUAAGUACUCAUGUCACCGUGUUAGCUAUGGUGGCUUGAAAGAAAUGCUUUGUAGCCCUCUAAAGGCAGGCUGAUCGGAAGAACUGGAAGAUUGCAAAGAUAAAAAGGAACUCUGGCAGAGAAGGGGGGCAAGAGGUAACUGUCAUUUGGAACCACCGGACAUUCUCUCACACUUUUGACAAGAGAUCUUAUCUUUUCAUGUAUUACAGUGCAUCUUUUUUUUUAUGGGAAAAAGGGUUGUAUGGGUCUUUAGAGACAAUUAUUUUUAUUUCUAAUAUUCCCCUGCUUUUAUGUGGUGCUAUUUUCAUCAGUAUAAAGCCAUUAAAAUCCAUCUCAGUAUCUACCAGUUUCCUGUAUAAUGCUAAAAAAGAAAUUGAAGGAUAUUAUUAUGAAUAUAGAUUGAUUAAAGUUUUAAGAACCCAGUCUAGUAACUGCAAAAACACCUUUAUUUUGUGUAUGGUCUUCAAUCUAAAAAUACUUUCAGGUGGUUUAUUUUAAAUAUAAAAUUUCAAGCAUA
ensembl:lncRNA novel transcript, antisense to SNAI2